AUAUCUCUCUGUACGGGAAGGAUGAGAAGAUUCGACUAAGGUUCGAUUCGAGCGAAAGCGAGAAAGCGUUGCCGCAGGCAACGACCCGAAGGGCGAAGCGCGCAGCGCUGAGUAAUCCUUCCCCCACCACCA
rnacentral:sRNA from 3 species